rnacentral:rRNA from 1 species
GAUGAACGCUGGCGGCGUGCCUAAUACAUGCAAGUCGAGCGAACAGACGAGGAGCUUGCUCCUCUGACGUUAGCGGCGGACGGGUGAGUAACACGUGGAUAACCUACCUAUAAGACUGGGAUAACUUCGGGAAACCGGAGCUAAUACCGGAUAAUAUAUUGAACCGCAUGGUUCAAUAGUGAAAGACGGUUUUGCUGUCACUUAUAGAUGGAUCCGCGCCGCAUUAGCUAGUUGGUAAGGUAACGGCUUACCAAGGCAACGAUGCGUAGCCGACCUGAGAGGGUGAUCGGCCACACUGGAACUGAGACACGGUCCAGACUCCUACGGGAGGCAGCAGUAGGGAAUCUUCCGCAAUGGGCGAAAGCCUGACGGAGCAACGCCGCGUGAGUGAUGAAGGUCUUCGGAUCGUAAAACUCUGUUAUUAAGGAAGAACAAAUGUGUAAGUAACUAUGCACGUCUUGACGGUACCUAAUCAGAAAGCCACGGCUAACUACGUG